UUAGGAAUCUUGGGCAAUGGGCGCAAGCCUGACCCAGCAACGCCGCGUGGGUGACGAAGGCCUUCGGGUCGUAAAGCCCUUUUCCCGGGGAAGAUGAUGACGGUACCCGGGGAAUAAGCCCCGGCUAACUACGUGCCAGCAGCCGCGGUAAUACGUAGGGGGCGAGCGUUGUCCGGAUUUAUUGGGCGUAAAAGGCUUGUAGGCGGCCACCGCGUGUCGUGCGUGAAAUCUCCCGGCUCAACUGGGAGGGGUCGUGCGAUACGGCGGGGCUCGAGGCCGGUAGGGGGACGCGGAAUUCCCGGUGUAGUGGUGGAAUGCGUAGAUAUCGGGAGGAACACCAGUGGCGAAGGCGGCGUCCUGGACCGGUGCUGACGCUGAGGAGCGAAAGCGUGGGGAGCGAUCCGGAUUAGAUACCCGGGUAGUCCACGCCGUAAACGGUGCGCACUAGGUGUCGGGGGUAUCGACCCCCCGGUGCCGCAGCUAACGCAGUAAGUGCGCUGCCUGGGGAGUACGGCCGCAAGGCUAAAACUCAAAUAAAUUGAACGGGGG
rnacentral:rRNA from 1 species